rnacentral:tRNA from 1 species
GGCCUAUUCGUCUAGUGGUUAGGACUCAAGAUUUUCAUUCUUGCAACAGAGGUUCGAUUCCUUUAUAGGCUACAA